UGGCAUGUUAUUUUCUCAAAAUGAAGAUUUUCACAUAAAAUAAAGUGAUAUUCAAAGUUCGGGAAUUGUGAAGAAUUGUACCCUAACAUAUUGGGACUCGAUUUCUUUACAUGACUUGAGCAAUUGAUUAUCUUUUUUUCAAAUUCCAUCGUUUGAGUUGAUUUUUAAUUUUUUUUAAAACCUUCGGCACUAAGACAUCAAAUAAUCAAUUUAGUACCGAUUUUGGGCGUGACGAGGGUGCUAACCCUUCCUCCUGCGU
rnacentral:lncRNA from 1 species